rfam:Aspergillus flavus AF70 309, whole genome shotgun sequence.
UAGCAUGAUGCUUCACAACAACAUAUACGCUGGAAAUUACCGACUGAGACCUUCGGGUUGUUGGCGAUAACACUUAUGGCACAUUUCUGAUC